rnacentral:rRNA from 1 species
CAGUAGCCGCGGGAAUACGAAGGGUGCAAGCGUUACUCGGAAUUACUGGGCGUAAAGCGUGCGUAGGUGGUGGUUUAAGUCCGUUGUGAAAGCCCUGGGCUCAACCUGGGAAUUGCAGUGGAUACUGGGUCACUAGAGUGUGGUAGAGGAUAGUGGAAUUUCCGGUGUAGCAGUGAAAUGCGUAGAGAUCGGAAGGAACAUCUGUGGCGAAGGCGACUAUCUGGGCCAACACUGACACUGAGGCACGAAAGCGUGGGGAGCAAACAGGAUUAGAGACCCGGGUAGUCCCUGUCUCUUAUAC